rnacentral:tRNA from 1 species
CAGUUAAUAUUUUAAUUAAAAUUUGAAUUUUGGAUAUUCAAGAUAUGUGAGUUUACAUUUUACUGA